rnacentral:rRNA from 1 species
UAGGGAAUUUUGCGCAAUGGGCGAAAUGCCUGACGCAGCGACGUCGCGUGUGGGAUGAAGGGUUUCGGCUCGUAAACCACUGUCAGAUGGGAAGAUGGGAUCAGCGACUAAUAAUCUCUGGUCUUGACUGUACCAUCAGAGGAAGCACCGGCUAACUACGUGCCAGCAGCCGCGGUAAUACGUAGGGUGCAAGCGUUACUCGGAAUCAUUGGGCGUAAAGGGUGUGUAGGCGGGACAGUAAGUCAGAUGUGAAAGCCUUGGGCUCAACUCAAGAAGUGCAUUUGAUACUGCUGUUCUAGAAUUCAGGAGAGGAAGGAAGAAUUCCCGGUGUAGAGGUGAAAUCCGUAGAUAUCGGGAGGAAUACCGGAGGCGAAGGCGUCCUUCUGGACUGAUAUUGACGCUGAGACACGAAAGCGUGGGUAGCAAACAGG